rnacentral:rRNA from 1 species
ACGGGGCGCACCAGGCGCGAAACCUCCGCAAUGCGGGCAACCGCGACGGGGGGACCCCCAGUGCCGUGGCAUCGCCACGGCUUUUCCGGAGUGUAAAAAGCUCCGGGAAUAAGGGCUGGGCAAGGCCGGUGGCAGCCGCCGCGGUAAUACCGGCGGCCCGAGUGGUGGCCGCUAUUAUUGGGCCUAAAGCGUCCGUAGCCGGGCCCGUAAGUCCCUGGCGAAAUCCCACGGCUCAACCGUGGGGCUUGCUGGGGAUACUGCGGGCCUUGGGACCGGGAGAGGCCGGGGGUACCCCUGGGGUAGGGGUGAAAUCCUGUAAUCCCAGGGGGACCGCCAGUGGCGAAGGCGCCCGGCUGGAACGGGUCCGACGGUGAGGGACGAAGGCCAGGGGAGCGAACCGGAUUAGAUACCCGGGUAGUCCUGGCUGUAAAGGAUGCGGGCUAGGUGUCGGGCGAGCUUCGAGCUCGCCCGGUGCCGAAGGGAAGCCGUUAAGCCCGCCGCCUGGGGAGUACGGCCGCAAGGCUGAAACUUAAAGGAAUUGGCGGGGGAGCAC